GAUGAACGCUGGCGGCGUGCCUAAUACAUGCAAGUCGAGCGAAUGGAUUAAGAGCUUGCUCUUAUGAAGUUAGCGGCGGACGGGUGAGUAACACGUGGGUAACCUGCCCGUAAGACUGGGAUAACUCCGGGAAACCGGGGCUAAUACCGGAUAAUAUUUUGAACUGCAUGGUUCAAAAUUGAAAGGCGGCUUCGGCUGUCACUUAUGGAUGGACCCGCGUCGCAUUAGCUAGUUGGUGAGGUAACGGCUCACCAAGGCAACGAUGCGUAGCCGACCUGAGAGGGUGAUCGGCCACACUGGGACUGAGACACGGCCAGACUCCUACGGGAGGCAGCAGUAGGGAAUCUUCCGCAAUGGACGAAAGUCUGACGGAGCAACGCCGCGUGAGUGAUGAAGGCUUUCGGGUCGUAAAACUCUGUUGUUAGGGAAGAACAAGUGCUAGUUGAAUAAGCUGGCACCUUGACGGUACCUAACCAGAAAGCCACGGCUAACUACGUGCCAGCAGCCGCCGCGG
rnacentral:rRNA from 1 species